CUUAACCAUUAGAAUCCUACUGAGCACUGCAAUAAUCUGAAAUUAAAGGAAGAGAUACGUAGUAAUAGGCCCAUAAUUUCAGCACAGAAGUAAUUUCAGAUUUGUCCGGAUGUAAAUUUAUCCUUGAAAAGUUAAAGAAUAAAACCACAGUUGUAUUCCAUAUAUAUACUGAAGAAAUUAUGCAGUGAUUUAAAUGUGUCGAGCUUUUAAAAUGCACCUAAAUAAAUUAAGCCCAUGCCUCUUUAUUUUUUGUUGUUUUCAGUCUAUCUAGCUCCUUUGAAGUUGGGCUAUGGAACACGUUAAUGCAUAGGCUUGAGAUGCAGAAGCAUGAGCAUCAGACUAACCUGGUCUGGCUAACUGGAACCAGUCCAGAUGUGGCCUUCAUGUUUUCAUCCUGCUGUAAAAGCUGUCAGAGUUGGCAGUUCAACCUCAAUUCUACCCAUACAGGUUGCACCGUAUCCUAACUUGUAAUUUGCUGAUUUCAGAGAGAUGAUGACUCAGCUGAAACUGGUAACAGCUGCUGAAGAAAAUG
rnacentral:lncRNA from 1 species